AUGGGGCUCCUCUCCCCAACAGCGGGGAAAUCCCGCCACCGCCCUCCACCCCGGUCCCCCGAGCCCGCGGUGGCGCAGGUUUGCCCAGCAAGCCCCAAGAUCGGCAGACAAAGGGGCACCAGAGGAAAAGCCGAGCUCUUCCAUAAACUUACCGGCCACCUACCCCUCCCCAAAACAAAAGAGCCCCCCGCCGACCUCCGUCUCUCCCCCCAAGGCACGCCGGCACUUUGGGGAGCGGCCACCUCGGGGUAUUGUUCAGCCUCCUGGGAGCGCGCCGCACCCCAGUCCGAGCGCCGCGGGGACAGUUGGCGACCUGCGCCUCCUGUAGUUCCAGGGGCGGGUGGAGCGUCCGGGCGCCCCGAGUCGCCGGCCAGACCCUGGAGGGUCAGCGCGGGAACCGCCUCCCCGCAGAAGUUUGCGGACCCCGCGCCCGGCCCGCCGAGCCCCGCGCACUCACCUCGCCGCGAACAGCGCAACUUGUGGCGGCGCCGCGCGCCCGGCCGCGCUCCGAACCUCCCUCCGGCCGGCAGCCUCCAAGCCCCGGCCGUGCGGCGGCCGAAGAGGGCCCGGCGCCCCGGAGCAGCCGCGCGCCGCCCCCGGGCCGCCCCCGCCCCGCCGCCGCCGAGUCCCGGAGAGGGCGCGGGCGCUGGAAAGUUUCGGUGGCGAAUGGCGGCCGGAGGGCGCUGCGGCGGCGGCGCGGCGGGGGCGCUGGCGACUCCUCGCUCCCGAGCGCGGAGUGGGGGCGCUGAGCCGGGCGCGGCGGCGGAGGCGGCGGCGGCGGGAGAGGGCGGAACAGCGGGAGGGACUGGCACGGGCAGUGACCUCCGCGGGGAGCGGUCGCGAACGCCCGGACCCCAACCGGGAGGACCGCCAGGGGUCCGCCCCCUCCGCCAGCCCCUCCCUCACGGCCGUGGGAGGGCACCCGGCGUCCCACCCGGCCCCGCCCCUGAGCCCCGGGGGAGCCGCGUCCCGAACCAGCCCCUCCCCCACGAGGGUAGGGACUCCGGCCCUGCCCCUCCCCCGCGGCUCCUAGAGGGGACCCGCGUCCCAACCCAGCCCCUGCCCCACGGUCGGGGGACCAGCGUCCCUACCAAGCCCGCCCCGCUCCCCAACGCCUAG
rnacentral:lncRNA from 1 species